GAGCCAUGAGGGUUCUUGCGCCCGUGUGAUGGUGGGGUCCAUCUUGACAUCUGAUGUUUGUACGGAUGAAAGCGAGCGCUUCUGAGCUC